CCUACGGGGGGCAGCAGUGGGGAAUCUUCCGCAAUGGCCGAAAGCCUGACGGAGCAACGCCGCGUGAUCGAAUGAAGGCCUUCGGGUUGUAAAGAUCUGUUGACAGGGACGAAUAAGCAAUGCGAAUAGUUGUGUGUAUGACGUUACCUGUUUAGAAAGCUCCGGCUAACUGCGUGCCAGCAGCCGCGGUAAGACGUAGGGAGCAAGCGUUGUCCGGAAUUACUGGGCGUAAAGGGCGCGUAGGUGGUCGCUUAAGUCAAGUGUGAAAACCCCGGGCCCAACCUGGGGACGGCAGUUGAAACUGGGUGUCUUGAGGGGAGGAGAGGAAAGUGGAAUUCCUAGUGUAGCGGUGAAAUGCGUAGAUAUUAGGAGGAACACCAGUGGCGAAGGCGACUUUCUGG
rnacentral:rRNA from 1 species